UACAGAGGUCCCAAGCGUUGUUCGGAUUCACUGGGCGUAAAGGGUGCGUAGGCGGUCGGGUAAGUCUGAUGUGAAAUCUCACAGCUUAACUGUGAAAACUGCAUUGGAUACUAUCCGGCUUGAGGAAUGGAGGGGAGACUGGAAUACUUGGUGUAGCAGUGAAAUGCGUAGAUAUCAAGUGGAACACCAGUGGCGAAGGCGAGUCUCUGGACAUUUCCUGACGCUGAGGAGCGAAAGCGUGGGGAGCGAACAGG
rnacentral:rRNA from 1 species